GACGAACGCUGGCGGCGUGCUUAACACAUGCAAGUCGAACGGAAAGGCCCUGCUUUUGUGGGGUGCUCGAGUGGCGAACGGGUGAGUAACACGUGAGUAACCUGCCCUUGACUUUGGGAUAACUUCAGGAAACUGGGGCUAAUACCGGAUAGGAGCUCCUGCUGCAUGGUGGGGGUUGGAAAGUUUCGGCGGUUGGGGAUGGACUCGCGGCUUAUCAGCUUGUUGGUGGGGUAGUGGCUUACCAAGGCUUUGACGGGUAGCCGGCCUGAGAGGGUGACCGGCGACAUUGGGACUGAGAUACGCCCCAGACGCCUACGGGAGGCAGCAGUGGGAAAUAUUGCACAAUGGGCGCACGCCUGAUGCAGCAACGCCGCGUGCGGGAUGACGGCCUUCGGGUUGUAAACCGCUUUCGCCUGUGACGAAGCGUGAGUGACGGUAAUGGGUAAAGAAGCACCGGCUAACUACGUG
rnacentral:rRNA from 1 species